rnacentral:rRNA from 1 species
UGGCGGACGGGUGAGUAACGCGUAGGAAUCUAUCUUUGGGUGGGGGACAACCGUGGGAAACUACGGCUAAUACCGCAUGAGGCCUGAGGGCCAAAGCUUGUGAGAGCGCCUGAGGAGGAGCCUGCGUCCGAUUAGCUAGUUGGUGGGGUAAAGGCCUACCAAGGCUGCGAUCGGUAGCUGGUCUGAGAGGACGAUCAGCCACACUGGGAUUGAGAACGGCCCAG